ensembl:lncRNA
UUUCUGUUCUGCUGACUUUGCAUCCAGCAAAUGCUCCGAAACACUCCAGUCUACUAAAACCCAGAAUGAGACAAAACAAGGUGCCGAGGGACCGUAAUCAUUUGCUCCGCAGCAAUCUGCUCAUUUGCUGCAGCUAACCGGGAGUAACGACUGCACCGCUUCCGCCUCGAGGAGUGUUGCUAAAGACGUGAUGAAUGCUGACACGUUCGACCACAUGUGGUCCGUGCUUUCACUUAGGGCCUCCCCCCGCAUGAAGGCCGAUUCUGCAAAGACUGCAAGAAGGCUCCGUUGUCAUGAUUGGAGACCCUCCUCCCAUGGGGAAAGAUGUUGUCGGGGGGGGGGACAAUGAUUGGCGAAGCGCAUGCAGAUGCAGAGCAUACAGCCGUGCUAAUAGAUAUUUCAAUUAUAGAAUGUGCCGUGGCAGAUCGGUCUAUGCUUGCUUGGAUCUGGUGAACCGCCGGAGCGGCCACAGAGAGGAGGUCUACGGGAGAACUCUGAUGGUGGCUGAUGUUUUUCCUUUUGGAAAGCUGUCAGCCUUUUGCUUUUAAUGAGGCCACACUCCAUUUGAGCUGUGUUAAAUGGUCUUUUUGAAAAAUAAAAGCAUUAAAGUGAGUCAUUCAUCUCCAAUGCCACGGUGAUGCAAGGACCCUUUGCUCGCCAUUUCACGCCCACAGCGGUCAUUCAAUUCUGUCCAUCAGCAAAAUAGAACAAAUAAAAUGUACAGUAACAAGAGUACAACCGUCUCCUAUAGCAGUUGUUUACUGGUCUGCUUUGGUUUUUCUGUAAAUAAUAGAAUCCUGGGUAUAGACCGUGUUUAGAAAUGCUUUGACAGACCAGUCUGUGAAGUGAAGAUUUUCUUUGAAGUCCACCAAAUGUUGCUUGGAACUGAACAGGUGUGUGGGAACCACUGAGUUUAGCUCGGCAAUGUUCUUCUUGUUUUGUUCAAUCGGAUUAGCGUAAUUGAAAUAUAAUGCCAGUGCUUUUAAGUCCCACUUGUUUUUGCGUCGGCGCUCAGCGUGUGUACGAUGGGAGAAUGCAAAUAGUCCCCACGACGCCGUUUGGCGAUGCUGAACGGCGGAGGUGUCUCAUAGCGUCCGCCGCGGUACUUUAGUUCAUAUCUUUUAUCGAACACGCGUUGCGACCCCAAAGGUCAAACGUCUGCAGGAGUUCGAACUAAUCUACACGUCACCUCUGUCGCACACUGCACGUCGCUGCGCGGUUGUGCGUGUCGGAGACGGCCUCUUUCGGCUUUCCCUCCAAAAGGUCUGAUCCCUUCGUUCCGUUGGUCGGUUUUGGGAAAGGCCGAAAUGCUGCUUUUGCUUGUGUCAAAACAAGGGAGAGAUUUCUAAUAGAAUGGAUCAGUUGUUAUCAAUGAGCCGUGAAGUCGGCGGUGACAUUUGGGCUGACGGACAAAUACGUUUGAAUUUCCUGCUUUUCCCUUCCUACUUCCUGGAUGGAAGUAGUUUUACUUUUAUCAAAGUGUAAAUAUCUACGUUGCGACCUUUUAGAAAAACACAUUAUCAGCAGAAUGUGGAGAGUGUUACAGCGUGGACUUGCAUGUUUGCAGAGAUGUCUACUGAAAUGCAUACUUGCAGCUCCAGAGGCAGAGCCUUCGGCCCCGCAUGAGAGCGUGCAGAAGAAGUAGGCGUGGCCUGAGGGCGCGUCAACGCCGCUUCACGGGUCUGUGUGCAUUUGCAUCGUCGGGGAUUAAAUUCAAAGCGGGACGAAUGAGAAAACGACUUGUCUUUCAUUCCUCUAUUAGUUUCUGCAGCAGCCGUGACUCCGCUUGGAGCCGCCUUUGAUUCCCGGGCGCUGCGGCUUCUGCAACUUUUGGAUUUAAUUCAAUAAACCUACAAUCGAAGCCCCCUGGAACGCACAUGUGAGAGCACUUAAUGAGAGCCGAUAGCGGCGCCCUGCUGUUUGGUAGCUGUUUACGUUUUCAUAUGACGAACCCUGAUUACGAUUCGUAUCGAAAUCAUCAAACCCGAGACCCCUCAGCUCCUCAGUGGUAAAAGCUCGGGCCAGCCCGCUUAGCUUUCGACAGCACACAAACGUCGAACGCACCCUGAGAAGUAGCCGCCCUUCUUUUAUUAGUUCUGACGGAGAUAAUUGCUGUUGUUUUUCCUCCACGUCGGAAACCAGAGGCGGAAGAUCCCUCCUGCGAUGUUGUAGAGUCAACAACUGUCUCGUGCCGCAAACAAGAGAACAAAAUGCUGUCACUGGGGCCGCCUGGUUGCUCAAAUCCCAGUGACAGUAUUUCAUUGUGCGUUUGCCGCGAGAGACAGUUGUUGACUCUACAAAACGUCUGCACGUUUCCGUUUGAUUCACAUUUCAUAUCCGGCUCAGUCGUUAUGGCGCUGCUCUAUCUUGAGUACUAUCCAAAGGGAAAAAAAAUAAUUAUCCAAAGUACUGGGACCCACCCAGCGGUAUCGCAUAGCCGUGAAGUCGUUGUCUGGCCGCUGCCUCUCCACCACUCGUCAAUCACUGUUGAAGAGCCUUCUCUCCUUCGAUGGCGCGUCGCCCGAGGCCGAACCCGACCGCCGUAUUUAACGCCAAACGUCCACAUCCGAAGACUCUCUGAUCUUUUGCUUCCAACGUCUUCCCCUUCCUCUGUUUGGUUGGCUAAAAUGUCCCAGUGAUUCACAGCUUCCAAGCUGCGUCCUGCUGACCUUGAGGAAAAAAAACACCACAUCAUUCGUGGUGGAGGGAGAUUUUAUGAGAGGAGAUGAGGAGUUGGAGAGAUGCUGUUAGAGUUUUUGAAUGAUGAAUCGGUUAAAUCGCCCUGAGCAAACUCCCCGUGUACAUCAGAAAACGCCUUAUAUCACUUUGACUGAAACGGGAUCAGUUUUCUCAUUGUAGCACGUUGAUUGAUUGAUUACGUGGGAGGAGAUAUAGGUUGAGCCAGACAGCGUGUCGUGUCUGCGGUAUUUGUGAUUGACACCUCGUCUCAGUCUCAGUGUCUCAAUUAAAAGCAGAACAAAGCAAAGGAAUUCAGUGGACAGUCUCUUACAUUCCCGUUGAAAUAUAGUGUGUUUGGCAGGUAAAAUGUAUAAUGCCAUUAAAGGUGUAACAGUCGAGGCUCGUUGGUGAGCUUCAGUCAUCGCUGUUUGAACCGUUUCCAGUGAUUGAAUUCAACAUCUUAGAUCAAAGUCACAGUAGAUAAGUCAGUGCUGAAUGAUGAAGAGCUUAAUAAUUAGGUUGGCAGAUAAUCAGUAGCCGCCAUCUCUGCAGCGUCCGACUCUAGAGGAAUUCAUCAGGUUUGAUGUCGGUAAAAGUCCAGAGAGUAAAUAUUGUCACAUGACACAACCUGCGUAACGUUGUCAUAAGAAUGUCAGAACAUUUUUAACCAAGACAAAACAAUAUUUAGUAUAUUCUAUUUUUAUUAAAAAAAAGAUAUAAAUAUCUGAGAGUUAAGAGAGUUAUUACAUACAUUAUUAUGACAUUAUAUUAUAGCUACGUAAGUUCCAUUAAAUGGUCUUAGAAUGUUAUUGAACUUAUUUAAAGAUCAUUUUAGGACACUAGGUCAUUUUUGCAAAUAGGCAAGCAAGAGAAAUAUAUUUGUAUUCCCUGCUCCAGUUGUACUAACUGCUAUCUCACUUUCGAAGGAAUAAUACAUCACAACAAAUGUAUGAAAAUGACUAUUUUUCAGAAAGGAUAAGCCCAAAUUGAGAUACAAACAAAUAUACAGUAAAGGGAGACGGUAGAAAAAUGGCAUUUGCUGUUACACAUUUUUUAUACAUGUCCUGCUCUAGUUAUCAUGUAUUAUACACAGGAUUGUACCCGUCAUCCAAAUAUAUACAAGUGGAACCCAGUCUGCGCCACGACUGUUUAAUAAAAGAUAGUGUUGUGUACACGGGUGACAGCUCACAGAGUAUGUGAGCCGGCUGCGAUGCAUAAUGUAUACAAAGCAUGAAGAAAAAGGCCGCGUGGAUAAGUGUGAUAAGACACGACAAUCUGGCGAUACGGCGAUGCACGGCGGUAUAAUAUGCGAGUCACCGCCGUGGAAGGGAGCAGAAUUCCCCUUUUAGUCCCCACUUUGGCAACGGAGCUCAUCGUGGCACCGAUGCGUGCGGGGAGCCGAGGCCACGGGGGCGGGGGGGGUCUGUGCCAUGACAACUGUAGUGCAAACGGUGACGGAACAACCCAGAUGUUGACCUAAAUAAGAAGGCCAAAAUAAAUGUACUGCUGGUUGAGCUGCUAAGCAGCUCCAAGAUGACAGCCGGUUGACCAAAGUGCACGUGAAUGUGUAUAUAGUUGUGAUUCAUGCCACUUAACUUAACACUUCAUUAAGAAGAUGACAACCUUCAUUUAUGCGCACGUCACCUGCGUUAUGAAGAGUCACUCAGGCAGUUUUGUUUACAAAGUAAAAAGGUCUUCCUCAGCUUCCACUGAAAGACGCAAUUAGCGCCUCUUAACAUGAUGACGACGGCUCUCAGUGAACGGGCUGCCGUUUGAGGCCAGACUUGUUUUCAAUAACAGAACAUAAGCACCGCACGUGGCACAAUAAUAAUUAGAGGAAUACCUGCGGCAACAACAACAUUGCAACAAUCGUGAUUAUCAUCAUUUUCUUAAUUUGGUCCAGAGGGGCACUGCGCCACACAGAACGAAAGGGCCGCGGCUCGAGCUGCUGAGACAAAAACUCUGCGUGCGACGCCGGCUGAAGGCGCCCGAGACGGAGAGAGUCCGUGAGUCCUUCCUGCCGUGGCUUUCCUUGGGGUUUGCACCGGUGGCUGGAUUAAUUCAGCUUCAUGAUGGAAGAAGAAAAAAAAGCUUGGAGGUAUGCGUUCGUUCUCUGUUAGCACGUCUUUGCGUGGGAGGCGUUGUGGCACGCAAGCUGUGCCCUGAUUUCACACUAUAUGCUAAUUCUAACCGGGUGGUUACAUGAGAGAGGAGUGGUACGCGGGAAAGCAUAGUAAGAACAUGCUGGUUUGUAUGUUUAACCUACUACUUGUCUCAGGUAAAAGAACUGCACCCCAGUCUACUUAAACCUACGUGCCUUUUUCAAGGGGGAAGCUGAAGAUGAAAGAUUCCACUGGAGAUGCGGCAUUUUGGAGCUCCACAGGAAGCAGAAAAGACGGGGGGGGGCAUGGGGGGGGUUUCGGCUGAUGCAGCAACGCAGACGGCACAAUAAAGUCCGCACGCGCAUUCGGCGAGUUGGACUGUUCUUUAGAAAAGAAUCUGGAAAGAUGAAGAGUGCGCGCGGACGGAUUCAGGUGCACAUUAUGAGGUCAGGUCAGAGUUUUUGCUGAUCUCUCACUCUGUCGGGUCUGAGUCUACUGUGAUAUAAUUAGAAACCGGGGAGAGUUGGCGUCCUGAAGCUGAGGACAAUACUGGAACGUGGCGCCUUGUGCGGUAUUUCAUUCAAAGGGAAGCAGGACACAGGAAUAAACUCCAGUCCAGUGCAGCAUCUAAAAGGCCUCGUACCUGGAUGCUCCUGUUUAACGGGACCAGGAGAGAGUAAACACUCACUCACACAACCCUCGGGUUUCGCUCAACUCAAAGAAUCCUGUUAGACUGAAUUUCUCCUUCUCGUGUUGCUGGUCCGUCCUCAAUCUGCAAUAAAAUGUCCAUCAAAAUGGGCCCUCUGAUGGGUGACAUUUUCCGCUGGGGGCAGUGACAUUUUAUUUUGCGGUGAAACUGACGUGACGAGGAAGAAAUCUGCAUUUUUAUAUGGCGUAAUUGUUCGCGGGAGGGGGGGAGGGCAGUGAAAUACACAAACCCGCUUCCCGUUUUUUUUACGGUGAGAAGGAGCUGAAACUCACACACACGGCCGUCGCUCUCCAGGUGCCUCGGGUGGAACACAACUUUGGCACAUGGCAGUGACGUGCCGCGGUCUGCAAAGAUGACCACUUCGUAAAGGUGUCCUCUCCCUGACGGCGGAUUUAAACCCCCCCUCUCUGCUGCGUGGAACCGUUUCAACGUGAGGAUCCUAUUUAAGGAUGCGCUGCUGUUUAGAGUUGCCGAAGCUGCACGGCUGAAAAACACCACAUAAGCACACAGCGAGGAAUCUGUUCAGCUCAGCUGGCGAGAGCAAAGUAUUAUCCCCAUUACGGUUCAGAGUUCACUGCCGACGAUGUGUGAGGAUAUGAAAUACCCCAUUAAAGGGCUAUUAGGUGGUGGAAAAGAAGGAAAAAAAUAGCUGGGAACAACAUACGAUUUUCCCUCGCUAAUGAUCAUUGUUUUUCUGUUACUCAACAAGGCUUUUAACUCUUUUAACAAAGAAAAAAGCAUAACUUCAAGACCAAAACGUUGGGCUUUCUGAAAUGAAAGCAUAUACGUUGUUUGAGGCCAUUGUUGUUGGUCUGCACUAAAUCUCAAUUUAAGUAGUGCACAGAGACCAGUAAAUGUGUGUUUUAAGCCCACUCCGCCCCCACAACAGUAAAAGGAUGUGAAUUAUUUCACCUUUGAACGUCCCGACUUUACUACCACUACAUCAUUCAAAUUAAGAUAAUAAAAACUUUUAAUGAAGCCUUUUUGAAACUCUACUCCAUUGGAAAGGUUAAAGCUGGGCUGUGCAACUUGGGACCAACCUCAGAAAGCUUUAAGUAUUCAACCGAAAGAAUGUACCCUUCAAAGCACACGACAGAGACUUCAAAGAAAACACCGGGCGGCGUACCGUCAGCCCGAACUGCAGUCGCCAAGGAAACGAGAAGGGUCAGAGGUCACAGAGAAAACAACAGAACUGUAAAAUCCUCCUGAUUCCUCUGAAGUCACGCGCUGGGAGAGGUAAGCAGACAGACAGGUAGACGGGAAGGUAGACAGACAGGUAGACAGGCAGGUGGACAGACAGGUAGAUAGGCAGGUGGACAGGCAGGUGGACAGGGAGGUAGACAGGCGGGUAAACAGGCAUGUAAACGGGAAGGUAGACAGACAGGUGGACAGGCAGGUAGACGGGAUGGUAGACAGAGAGGUAGACAGGAAGGUAGACAAGCAGGGAGACGAGAUGGGAGAUGGGAUGGGAGACGGGAUGGGAGACGGGAUGGGAGACAGGCAAUUGAUUAGGUACCAGAUUGUUUUUGUCAGAUUUGGUUUAUUUGAUUGAAAAUUGUGACAAUAAUGAGACAAUAUUUUUGACAAAAAUGCUUCUCAAGUAAAUGGCGGCCGUGGUCUUGGCUCAAGGUCUGCUCCAGAGGAGGCCAUUUCAUCCGGCUCUGAAGCGAUGUUCCCAGCAGAGGACCUUGUGUGGGCGGAUUUAGCUUAGUUUGAAUUGAGGACGUAUUGUCUCAUCCAGCUGCAGAGUCGUCACUGUUCUCACUGUAGGGAUGGAAUGAAAUCACCCAAUUGUUUUUUUCAUUCACUGUCUCACUAAAAUAAACCCCCCCUCGGACUAAAUCAGGAGCAGCGGAUGUAUAGCAGAGCUGUAAAAGAUCAAGUACACUCAGGAAAUGGGAUGCUGAGGUGGGCGGCAAAGCCAACUAAAAGUCUACCGGAUAAAUCGAUGCGUUUGUCCAUUUGUGGACAGAGCUUGAAGCCAGCGGUAAAAGGUUGCUCUCGGGUGGCAGUUAGCGCCGGUGCUGCCGGCUAGCCGUCCCGCACAGGUGCUCUUUGUCGGCGAUACACCGGAUUGUAAUUUGUGCGUGGACGGCCUCGAGUGUUGUUUGUGUGGUGACACUGAAGGCAACGUUUCAUGAGUGUCGUAGCACUUUCCACUCGGCUUUGAUCGCUCAACUACGCACACCUCGAACUGCAGUGUUGUUUUUUUACAAAUGAAUUUAAUGACUGUCAUUCAGGGACGUAAAUAAGCGGCGUUGGCUUCAGCACGCCUCCCCUACUGCUACCCGGCAAAAUAGAAUAGCUGCUAAAUAACAUUGUUAAAAGUAAAAAGUGCAAUAUUUCCCUCUGUAAUGAAACAUCAUAUUGAAAUACUCAAGUAAUGUGCAAGUAAAAAACGUACUUAAUACUCCUAAUAGCACCAGAUAGAUGCGGCUAUUGUACAAAUGUUCUUAUUUCCCCCAGACAUACAGUAGACCCCCAACAUAGUAUCCUCCUACCCUGCGGGAGAGACCGCACGAAUGUCGUUUGUAUGCAGGUGGAGGGUAUCACGUCAUAAUAGAUUGCGAUUAUUAUCUAAACUGCAGGAAUUAGCCUGAGCCAUUUUGCUAAAUGGAUGGAAACAACGACAAUGCAAAGGCGUCUUCUCUACCGCUGCGCAGUGUGAAGAGUAGAUCUGUAAGUAGACAGAGUAGCCGCUUGUCCUUGUGUGUCACAUUACAGGGUGUUAGAACGUCAUGGAUAAUUGGAAGCGUGGGGGGGGGUUACCAAGCAGGUAAAUCAAGGACAAAAUGAUGGUGAACUAUAAAUGUGAACAAUAUCCCUUUGCCGUUGCUUAUACAGAAUAAUCACAUUGUGUUGUAUAAUCCCAAUUCUAAGUGCAUUAUAGUCACACUUUAAAAUCAAAGGCGUAGACUGUUUUUGCUGGAAAGAGUAAUUUGACUGAAUGCAGGUAAUGAGGACAAAAUCUCCACUAAAAGAGUGUAAAUGUCCUGUAAACAUGAAUUAAUUUCUCUUAAAAUACAAUUGAAUUCAAAUGAAUUAUGAAAACACAACUAAACCAUCCGUUUAUGCUGAAACCAGUGUAAUAUAUGUAAUAUGUAUCACUUAUUUAGUGGCACAUUAUUCCCUCAUGCUUAAGUCAGCAUUGUCACCAAGAUUUAAAAAAAAAAACGUGUUGUGAUCAUCGACAUGAAAAGGAAGAUGCGCGUCUGGUUUCAUGUUAUUGUCAAAGUGAACUUACAAAGAGCCGACAGGAAGUUUAAUAUUCAUAACCCGCACUACUCGAUGUUUUAUGUGCGCAUAAUCAACCCCCAUGUAAACAAUUAGUGCAUUGCCACAUGUAAUUAUUGCACUUUCGGCGCAGAGCACGCUUACACAUACAGCGUAUCAAUUAAAUACUGCGAACGGGCUCUUUAAAUAUUGCACUAUCCCUGCAAAAUUGUAUGCAAGCCCCAGAAAAAUAGCAUGUUAUAUAACCGGUUUUGGAAGCAUCCCAAAUGGGAGCAACCGCAAGCAGCUUUCUAUAAUUGCUCUACAAGAACAGAGCAGGUUUAUAACAAGCCUUUAAAAAAAGUCUCUCUCACUUCAAACCUACUGGAUGCACAAAACAAACCGGCCAUCAAGCUGAGAGGUGAGGAGAUGUUGGAGGCCCCCCUCCCACCUCCCGUCCACAGCCUGCCAGUAAAGAUGGAGGAUCCACCCGGAUACCGCCGCAGGGUAUUUGUGCGGUGUUAGGGCAAUAGCAGUGUUACCAUGGUGCAGGAGACACUUGGAGGUGGACCAUCCAAGAUGAACGUGUACAGUGGGACCAGACUGGUGCCUGGUGAAGCCCUUUUCCCCCGAUCAUCAGUGUUCCUCCAGGACUGUGGCCCCGUCCACACUGUGUGCUUAUUGGUUAAAAGGAAACCGUAUGCACCGGGCUCACUGGGUAUUGCUCCUGACUGGCUCCGACACCUCCACUGUCGAUUUAUUUCAAUGUAACUACGGGAGGGGGGGUGAAAAUAAUAAUAAUAAUAAUAAUAAAUGGAGCUUGCAAGAUCGCGGCAUGACGGCUGCAUUGAAGGCGAUGACAUAACGGCAGAGCAACACUCAGCAUUCUUUUUAAGAUGAUCUCUUUUUUAAAGUGGGGGUUACAAGGGGGUCCAGUGCCUUGCAUUGCCCCCCCCCCAGCGGUGGAUCCACAUUGCCCCCUGCUGGUUCCACCACGCGCAGCACAUCACGACAACAAUAAACAACAGCGGCUCUGCUUCAUGAAAGCACCGAGUGAUGGAACAGACUUCACCAACAGAUGACGCAGAGUUACUGCAACGUGAGCACAGCGGUCCUAUGAAACAAAAUCCUCAGCCUGUUUGUUUGCCUUCUUAAACGCCAGCAUCUGUGUGUCUGUGUAGGUGUGUGCGCGCGUGUGUGUCUGCACCCGUAUGUUCACUGGUCAUGUUUAGUAAUCUGCAGUAAAUCACAGACAAGGAGCACUCAUCAAAAGGGAAAUCUAUCCAGCCCAACAACAGUGUGACGAGCUGUUCAAUCUCUUUUUAUGCUGUUAUAUUGUAGACCAAUACAACCUCCAUUUAAGAAUCUAUUCAUGUGUGGAUCAUUGUAUCAUUUGUUCAUGCGGUUUUGUCCGCCCUGCUGAAAGCUGCAAUGCAAGUCAGUCUAUCUAGAAGUAGAUCAACCUGAGAAAUGAGGCUAAACAACAUGGGCAAUUAUAUUUAUUCAUUAGUUAGAAUAAAGUAAAAAAAGCAAUAAUACAAACUGUGCCCAACCACCCAAAACAGUCCUUAUUCGCUCCAAUAAGUCUAAAUAAUUAAGUCAACAUUGUCACAGUGACACUCGGGUUAAAGUGACAUAUGUUUAUUUAGCUUUUUGAAACUGGAAAAAAAAACAAAUUCAGGAACCAGCUAAAAAUGGUCAUAUUUUAAUCAAAGUAGAUGAGAACAUUACUUAAGGGUUUUCUGUGGAUGUUUUCUCACCUUAAAUCUUGCAUGAGAGCAACUUCUCCCCUUGACAUUACGAGUAAAGACGAAGGUAUGCAGGGUGUAAUAUCAAAAAAGGAUGCCUGCUACUGAGGGAACGGACGUGUAUUUGAGCCACAAUAUCUUCUACACAUGUAGGAAAUGUAGUUCUGAAUAAGAUCAGACUAAGCGUGUGAUGUGAUUAAAUAUUCUCGAUCAUUUUCACUGUGUUUUUUGCUUCUUUUUCUCUUAUGUUAUAUCAAUGAUGCAACAUUCCGUCUUUAGACGUGAGACAAGUGCUCCCUCUUCCAAAUCCUCCAUUACCGCCACUGCGAAGAAACAUGCACAAACAUGCUUUUUCUUCUCUUUUUUUUCCGGGUCACAGAGGGAGUGAGAGAGGAGUUUUCAGAGAGACUGAGACUUAUCAAAACCGCCAUCAGUCUCUUUAUGCUGAUCACGGCAGCCUUUCCACGACGCGAGUCACCCCCCCAAAGUGACCUUGUUGUUGCCUUGGGGAAGUUAAACUCCAGGCAUUUGAGCCAAGGAUCUCUAAAAAAAAAAAAAAAGGAAAAUGAACGCCUGUCUAAUCCGCCGUGUGCCCCUAAAAUCGGAUCAGAUCAUCGCUCCUCCAGGGGAAACCUGUGCAGAUAAGGCGCUUCUAAUCUGAAUUGUUCUACAGUUAUUGUGUUCAUGGAAAGGUGUGCAGAGAGAGACAGAGAGAGAGAGGAGGAGACCCCCCACAGGGAGACGGUAAGAAGGGCUCCCGGAUCCUCACAACGAGCUAUUUCAGGGCCCAUCGGUGAAUCCUGUGGGAGCAAGAGGAUAAACCCAGAGGCCUUUGUUGCCGCGCCUCUGUUUGUCUCGGGGCUCCAGACUGCAGCUGGAGAGAGGACGCGUACGACCGCAUUGUUCCACGCGGUUUACCAACCAAGCCACCCGGGCUCUAAUGCGUUCCAUGGGGACUGUUCACCUGCGUUCAAACCAGAGCCUCCCCCCGAUGUGGCUGGUCAAUACCAGCAGCUCCACAAAUGGAACUCUUACAAUAUCAAAAUCUUGUCCCGUCUCCCUGUGAAUGCAGAGUUUUUACAAUCUACAGGGUCGCCGUGGUGUAGUUGUUUUCUUACAGUAUUAAUUAGUUCCUAGGAGGACAAUUAUCCAGAAAAUGAAAAUGACAGAAAACUAAUCUAAAGUGGCUGAAAUAACCAACGAAAAAAAAGCAUUUCUUAUGAGAGCGUGUUUGAAAAAUCAACAGUAUGAGAUAAAAUCUAAAGUUUAGAAAAGCAGAGCAGGAUUCAGCAGGUCGGCAGAGAUGGUACCGGGUCCUGUUUUCCACUAGAUGGAACUGUAGUUCCUUCCUGUCCCUCCAAAGUGAUCACCCGUGCUUAAGACACAGCUGUUGCCUCUGAAAUAGCUUGUUUUUAUAUUAGAAGCCUGUUCUGUAAAUAGCAAUGACUCAAAUCGGGAAAGAAAACGCUAAAGUUCGGAUUCAAAUUAAAAAUGAAGAGACAAACAAGUUAACCAACAAGAUGAUGGAAGCCCCCAAAGCAUAAAUCAGAGAUGCGAGUAAGUCUAGUUUUGGUAAUAUGGACAUAGAAUCUAAAAAAAGAACAUUUUACCAAACAAAUUCGACUUUUUCUAAUAUGAACAUUUUGAUUAUAAAAUACUGGCCGUUUUUUCUUUUUCCAUUCGUCACAAUAUUGUCAUGGUUGGGUAGGAAGGCAGGACUCAAACGCAGACUUCGAGUAACAAAAAGACUUUAACAGUCAUAAACUCCAACAAAUCAAAAGGCCAACGGGCAAAAACACAUACAAAGGGGGGGGGGGGGGGUGACAAACAACACACACUGCUUAAAUACACAAGGGAGGUGCAGGUGAUUGGACACAGGUGGCAACAAUCCGACAAUCACAGGGGAUGACAGGACCAGGCAGGAAGUGAAGUUACCCGAAAACUACAAAAUAAAACAGAAAGUGAACCACACCGUGACAAAUAUGGCCAAUGUACGCAAUCCUCACAUCUUCAUUCAGAGCUCACUUGAAUGGAUAGAAAAUUCUCCCUUCAUACGGAUGCUUUGACACUUCAAAACACUCCUCCAUUGAUCACGGUUUUCACCAGAAUUUGCCAUGUUUUUGCAGGAUGAACGAACACGUCGAUCCAUAUGCUCGCCGCGUUGGCAAAUCUGGAGCUUUGGCGUGAGUACGAGUGUUUUGGAUCCCACCCGGCUGAAUACACUGCCUCCACUCCUCGGCCUCCGUGCUCCUCGUGCACAUCCGUGCACAUCACGUUGUGUGCUCAGUGCCACUUUGGCACAACUUUGGGUGUCUGGCGCACGGCGAGCAUGCAGAUGGGUGCUGCUUGCAGGAGAACUCUCAGAAGUUCUCCUCUGGCAGGAGAUCUCGUCACUGAGAUGUAAUGCAAUCCCAGAUAACCCAGCCGAGCGGGGAUCCGAUCUCAACAGAAAUGUUUGAACCAGCUCACGGGGAUGGUCGUGUUUGGUUGCUUGUCUAGUCAAACUACAACAGUUUGUUUCCAUCUCGUCCUUUUAACACGAAUUGCCUGGCGGACCGGUAAUUGGUUACUGUUGAUCUUGCGAGAACAAUAAUAUUGAUUAGGCCCAAAUAAAUCUCAUCCUGGACGUGUUCAGCUGCUGCGAAAGGCUUCAGUGAUCUUUGGGGACACAUCAAGUGAAUGAUCUCCAUAAAGAGCCGGAGAGGGAUGAUGCUGAGGAGGGGAAGGGGGGGGACUUCUGGAAGGAAACAAAGGGUCCGAGCAUUGCGGCCGUAUUGAUUUUUCAAUUCUUUAAGUAGGCCAUAUCCUAUGCAGGAUGUACACUAUUACCUUCUGUCACUGGAAACUUAACAACUGGUGGUUUCCUGAACCUCCCCUGGAGGCUUUGUUGAGCAGCACUCAAUCACAUCCUGAAGCUGGAACACUGUAUGGAGCCCCCGUGCAUUUGAAAUGUGAACAAAAGAUGUUACCAGCGUGUACCAAAUGCAUAUUUAAUGAUUAGCGGUGUUCCUGAAGCACUUAUGCAGCUCAGGCAUAGAUAUCGACGUAUUGGUCAAAUAAGCCGGUGCUUUUACUAGGGCCCAUCCAAUAGUAUCUGAACACUUCAUUAGAAUGGACAAAUGCGCCGCGCAGUUAACAAUACGGCCAAAUAUGGAUCGCAGAAGAAGAAAGCUCUUGGGACGGUAUGAAUGGCGGAUGUAGUUUUUGUAAUCUAGUCCGCAGUGCAUCUCUACGCUAUUCAUGGACAAAUCAAUGUCUUUACUGCCUGUCUUUUACUUAGGAUGGGAAACGUGACAGGAAUUAAAUCGAGUGGAAUGAGUUUAUUAUGAUACUAAUGAAAUCCACUGGACACACACAAUGAAUUAAUCAGUCAUGCUCCAAUCGAUGUAAUUCGCUGGCAGACUUUCAGAAAGACUCUCCCCCUUUAUACGGGAUGUUCGUAUGCAACACUCAAUGCUUCCAGUUUUCCUCUCACACAAUCGCCAUGACGGCAGACAGUAUUUCAGAGGAAAUCUAAUGAGUUAUCACCAAACCAAAUGAGAUCUUUAGGACAAAUCGAAACAAUCACUCCGACAAAAUACAGUCCGAACCAACUCUCGUACUUUAUUGCUUUAUUUCUUGAAUAUUCAGAGACCGUUUUACAAUAAAAAUAAAUGAACUCUUGAUUAGACUGUACGGCUCCUUCUCAGACUGAUUUCAUGCACAAGAGGAAGUAUAUAUAGAGAGGAUACUAAAUAAAUGAACGUUCUUUCCCCCUAACAUUUGACAGCACGGCAGUGCAGGAUGAAAUAGUUUCAUUAUUUGUAUUAACAGGUAAGAAUCUGACACAUCUUGAAUUGAAUCAAUUCUGCUGAUGUUUUAUUUCUUUUGAUAUUAGCACACGUGGGCUUCAACAUCCUGCAGAGACGCCUUCAAGCAAGGUACCAAAAUAUCAUUUAGUGCCUAUUACAAGCUACUUUUAGUCCCACGCAGAUGGAAUCAGACAUGCAAGAGUGAAAGAAUAAUGGCUUUUCAUUGUGUCCUUCUUACUGGUCAUUACAAGCCUUUUAGCUGCUGCUUUAUAGCAUCACAACAUGUAGAAUCAGAACAUUUUCAAGUAGCAUUCAAACACAUCGGGUCAGUUUGAAGUGGAGAAUAUCUGGACUCCGAAGCAACCUGUGAUGUCCAGAAAUCCAUAAAUCGGUAGACUUUGGAGUUCUUCAUCUAAUGUUAAGCUUUUGUUCCGUAAAACAAACUUUGAUUGAAAAAGUUUUGUCAACGGUGAUCACGAUUUGUAUGCAAACUGCGAUUCCAGAUGAAGAAGCAAUGUCACACUUUGCCCAUGAAUUGCACUUACCACUUGCAAUUGGAGAGAUUGAGAUACCUUGAAACUUUUAAACACCCAAAACGACAUUCGCAGGCCGCCCAUUCUCCGAAAUUAAAGUGCUGAAGGCUAUUAAUAGAUUCCAUACAUCUCAAGAGUUCUGAGCUGAGAGAAAAACUAUUAAAGUGCCUUUAGUUAUGUACUGAGGUACUUAAAUCACUGCAAUUUAGGUCUUCAAUGGGAAAUAAACUAAAAAAGGGGUUGUGUCCUCAUGUUAGGCGGGCCUGCGGGUUACAUAAAUAUAUAAUCGUGCUAUUAUAAAGCCCGGGUUAAUAACUCCACCCGGCCAUUUGCUUUGGGUGUGUAAAUUCACGCUCUUAAUGGGAUUAUUGAGGUUAUUGUGCGCAUAAAGACAUAGAGAGGCGUGACGUCACGCCCUCACCCGUCGGAUCCCGAGCCUCACAGUUUGUCGUCACAGUGAGUCUCCGACAGACAGGAUCUGGGGUGGAGGGAGGGAGGGGGGAGGGGUCGGGGAGGGGAUGCCCCCCCCCCACACACUUCUUUCUACCUGGGAAAAAGAAACGUCCUUUUGCAGCUGUCGGGUGGAUGUAUCGUUCAAACGCGGCCAAAGUUAGAUGUGCUUUAGUUUCCAAAAUCCGUGAUUCCUCCUCGACUCUAAAGUUUCGUCCUCCAAUCUGGUGACAGACGCGCGCGUGCGUGCGUGCGUGCGGCAGAGCGAGCGGACGGAGGGACGCGUGCACGCAGGAGGGGUUGACAGGAGCGGGCUGAAAGGGGAGAUGCUGUGCCGCCUGCGCGUCUCUG